GUCGCCUCUUGUCGUUUCAUUUCGUUCAGUUCCGACUCGUUUUCGUCUUUCGACUGAGGCUUUUGUCACCGAAUCUUUUUACUCACUUAUUAGUCUGGCUGGCAACGAGCCACUGAACUGAACUGUUUUGUUCUGUUGGCCGCAUCGGUCCGACGGCUUCGCAAUGAAAACUUAACUACGGGACGCCUUCUACAAAAAAAAAAUAAAAUAAAUAGCAUAAUCUAUUCAAGCAUGUGGCUUCAAGAUUUCUUUGUAUUUCAAUUGAACAGCAAUAAAGGCGUUGAGACUGUGGCAAUAAGAAGCAGCAUCAGCUACUAAUCGACUACAACAACAAUCAUAAAUCAUCAUCAUCUACGCGCAGCACGCAACAAAAACAACAACCACAAGAAGAAGAAAUCAGCAAUUGAGCUGCAAGCAAACGAGAAGAAAGCAAAAGAAUUCACAUUAAUCAUACGCCGCGUGUGCCGCGCAUUAGAACACGCCCUGUAAAAUUGCCAUCGAUAUGUUUGCCAAAAAGCCGCACAAUGCGCCGCGCACUUGACACGCGUUGAGUUACCGUUACAGUUACAGCAAUUGCGAUUGUCAAUCAAUCAAUCAAUUGGUCAAUUUUCUAGCGACUUUCUUUCGUUGUGUUUGUUUUCAUUUAGUUUUUCAUUCGUUUUUUGUCUAAGUUUCGCAUUGUUAUCGAAGUGCCGCAUGUGGGUGUCCGGGCUAAUAACGUUAACUGGCAGCUACAACUGCAAUAAAAACAACAACAACUAUACUAACAA